AGCAGCCGCGGUAAUUCCAGCUCCAAUAGCGUAUAUUAAAGUUGUUGCAGUUAAAAAGCUCGUAGUUGAAUUUCGGGGUCAGUAGGUCGGUCGUGCCACUGGUAUGAACUGGUUUUACUGAUUCCUCCCUCUUGAAGAACUGUAAUGCCAUUAAUUUGGUGUUGCAGGGAAUCAGGACUGUUACUUUGAAAAAAUUAGAGUGUUUAAAGCAGGCUUUAGCUUGAAUACAUUAGCAUGGAAUAAUGAAAUAGGACGUUUGAUCCUAUUUUGUUGGUUUCUAGGAUUGACGUAAUGAUUAAUAGGGAUAGUUGGGGGCAUUAGUAUUCAAUUGUCAGAGGUGAAAUUCUUGGAUUUAUUGAAGACUAACUACUGCGAAAGCAUUUGCCAAGGAUGUUUUCAUUAAUCAAGAACGAAGUUAGGGAUCGAAGACGAUCAGAUACCGUCGUAGUCUUAACCAUAAACUAUGACCGACUAGGGAUCGGAUGAUGUUAAUUUUUAUGUACUUCAUUCGGCGCCUUAC
rnacentral:rRNA from 1 species